UCUGUUUUUCCCUCCAACAAAAUUUACAUUAUUAUUUAUUUUUUCCCCUCCAACAAAAUUUCUCUCAGAAAAAAAGAAGUUUCCCUCUCACUUGCCAGUUUUCCUCUCCCCCUCGUCUCUCUCAUUCGCUGUGGUGUCCAAGUUUGCUUUCAAUCGUUCUUCAAAACUACAGGUGUUUCGCUUGUGUUUUUUCUAGGUCCUACUCUUGAGGUACGAUAUGUACACUAUUGGGUUUCUUAUCUCAUAAGAAAGCCCUAACCCUAGUUCCCCGUUUGGUGUUUCUCUUCAAAAAUUAUCAUCAGUAGGCUUAAGUUAUGGAUUAGUUUGUUUUGUGCAACAAUGCCCAAAUCUGUGAUGCGCCAAACUGUUAAUGCCAAGACAAGAGAAUAUUAGCUCUCUAAAGUUGUAUAUGAAGGGCAGUUCAUGGAUGUGAGAUGCUAUGGCCUAUAAAUGAACUUUCAGUCAAUGAAAGGUACAUAUCCCUUUCUUUAUAGCUAGGCUCUAUUGUUUGACGUUUAGAAAUUAAUUUAAUUUAGUGAUCAUUAACUAUAUUUAGUAUUUGAAGUUCUUAUGGUUUGGUAACCAAACCACAUUAUUCAUACCUAGAAACAGAUUUGAUUGCAUUAUUUUUUUCUUGAGCUUAUGGCCUUGGAUGCAACUUUCAUUUCAAAGGUUCUACAUAUAUGUGAAGUUAAACGAGGUGAGUGGAUGCAUUUGUAUGGGACAAAUCCCCACUAAGUGCUCAUACAAAGUGAGUGUUGGUCCAUAUUUUAUGGAAAGUCCCCAUGUAUUGUUACUGUCUACAAGGGUGUAGCUUAGUGGAAGGUGGGGUUGCCCCCCAGUGUUUUGGUUAGAAGUGUAAAAUAUUCGAUUUUUUGUCCGAAAAUUUUAAAAUUAUAUAGGAUUGUCCCCCUAAUUAUGUUGCCUAAAUAUUUAUACAAUAUAUAAAUUGGGUCCCAUGACUUUUCCCCCGUCGGAACUUUUGGUCAAGCUCCGCCACUGACUGUCUAUGUACUUAAACAAUGGCAUUUGGGUCCAGGAAUUCUACAAAUGUUUUCUUGUUUUUUUAUAGACUUUUGAGUCAUUUGGUUAAUUUCACAGCAAACAACAGCUGAUGCCUUUGUUCCAUUCUCUGGCUCCUCCAUUGCAUCAUUAUGUGUGAAAGCAAUGCCAUCACACCGCGACCUACAGUUGUCACACGUCGGCCUACCUUUGUUGGUCGUCUCCUGAUUUCUGAGUGAUCCACUUGAAUUUGUAGAAGAAGCUCAGCAGAAAUGGUGUGUGGCGUUUACCAAAACGAAAAACAAGCUGAAAAUUGCAUUUAAUAAACAGUAAAAAGUGGCGAACAUAGAAGAUAUCAGGGGCGCAGUGGUGGUGAUGUCUACGGAGCUUACGGUAGUUAUUCUUAUGGACGUGGUGGUAGUGUUGGGGGUUCAAGGCACAUCCCUGCUUCUAGAAGGCGGGAUUAUAAUUACUGACGGGUAGUGAUGGUUUCUUCUUUAUUUAGCCGAAGCCUGAAGCCAGCCUAAACAACCAGAAGACCGGUUGAACCGAACCAGUUAUGGCCCACCUUAAGAGGAUAACUGAACCAGAAGACCAUGUUUCGACACUAUUUUACCAAGGUGAAGGAAAUUCAGCUUACUAGAGGCAUUGAAAAAACCACCUAAUGCUUGGUGAAGGGCUUAAAAUGACGUAAAAAGAAGUUAUAUACAGUGAAUUGGGGCUGAUGUGGGUGCAGUAAGUGCUUGGGACAACUAUGAAGAUUGUGAAAGAGGUUCAUAAGGGCAAUACAAUUUUGAUUAUGUUUGUUAGUUAUUUGUUUUGUAUGUUUGUUAUUUAGACUUAGGUUGACACUUAUUAGGCAUUUGUUUGAAACAUUUGAAAUGUUUGAAAGAUGAUUGAACUUUUAAUUGAAAUGAUUG